GACGAACGCUGGCGGCGUGCUUAACACAUGCAAGUCGAACGAUGAAGCCGGAGCUUGCUCUGGUGAAUUAGUGGCGAACGGGUGAGUAACACGUGAGUAACCUGCCCUUGACUCUGGGAUAACUGCGGGAAACUGUAGCUAAUACCGGAUACGACCCUCGGAGGCAUCUCCUGGGGGUGGAAAGAAUUUCGGUCAAGGAUGGACUCGCGGCCUAUCAGCUAGUUGGGGAGGUAAAGGCUCACCAAGGCGACGACGGGUAGCCGGCAUGAGAGAGUGACCGGCCACACUGGGACUGAGACACGGCCCAGAGUCCUACGGGAGGCAGCAGUGGGGAAUAUUGCACAAUGGGCGCAAGCCUGAUGCAGCAACGCCGCGUGAGGGAUGACGGCCUUCGGGUUGUAAACCUCUUUUAGCAGGGAAGAAGCGAAAGUGACGGUACCUGCAGAAAAAGCACCGGCUAACUACGUGCCAGCCGCCGCCGUAA
rnacentral:rRNA from 1 species